rnacentral:rRNA from 1 species
UACGUAGGGAGCAAGCGUUUGUCCGGAAUCAUUGGGCGUAAAGCGCGCGUAGGCGGCCCGGUAAGUCCGCUGUAAAAGUCAAAGGCUCAACCUUUGAAUGUCAGUGGAUACUGCCGGGCUAGAGUCCGGAAGAGGCGAGUGGAACUCCUGGUGUAGCGGUGGAAUGCGCAGAUAUCAGGAAGAACACCGACGGCGAAGGCAGCUCGCUGGGACGGUACUGACGCUGAGGCGCGAAAGCGUGGGGAGCGAACAGG